rnacentral:rRNA from 1 species
CCCAAGGUUUUUUACCUGGCGCACGGGUGAGUAAUAUAUAGUUAAUCUGCCCUAGAGAAAGGGAUAACGUUUGGAAACGAACGCUAACACCUUAUAUGCCUUUAUCACAUAAGUGAGCAAGGGAAACAUUUAUGGCUCUAGGAUGAGACUGUACGGUAUCAGUUAGUUGGUGAGGUAAUGGCUCACCAAGACAAUGACGCCUAACUGGUUUGAGAGGAUGAUCAGUCACACUGGAACUGAGACACGGUCCAGACUCCUACGGGAGGCAGCAGUGGGGAAUAUUGCACAAUGGAGGAAACUCUGAUGCAGCAACGCCGCGUGGAGGAUGACACUUUUCGGAGCGUAAACUCCUUUUAUAUAGGAAGAUAAUGACGGUACUAUAUGAAUAAGCACCGGCUAACUCCGUGCCAGCAGCCGCGGUAAUACGGAGGGUGCAAGCGUUACUCGGAAUCACUGGGCGUAAAGGGCGUGUAGGCGGGUUAAUAAGUUGGAAGUGAAAUCCUAUGGCUCAACCAUAGAACUGCUUUCAAAACUGUUAACCUAGAAUAUGGGAGAGGUAGAUGGAAUUUCUGGUGUAGGGGUAAAAUCCGUAGAGAUCAGAAGGAAUACCGAUUGCGAAGGCGAUCUACUGGAACAUUAUUGACGCUGAGACGCGAAAGCGUGGGGAGCAAACAGGAUUAGAUACCCUGGUAGUCCACGCCCUAAACGAUGUACACUAGUUGUUGCGAUGCUAGACAUUGCAGUAAUGCAGUUAACACAUUAAGUGUACCGCCUGGGGAGUACGGUCGCAAGAUUAAAACUCAAAGGAAUAGACGGGGACCCGCACAAGCGGUGGAGCAUGUGGUUUAAUUCGACGAUACGCGAAGAACCUUACCUGGACUUGACAUAGAAAGAAUUUCGCAGAGAUGUAAAAGUGCUAGCUUGCUAGAACUUUCAUACAGGUGCUGCACGGCUGUCGUCAGCUCGUGUCGUGAGAUGUUGGGUUAAGUCCCGCAACGAGCGCAACCCUCGUCGUUAGUUGCUAACAGUUCGGCUGAGAACUCUAACGAGACUGCCUGGGUAACCAGGAGGAAGGUGAGGACGACGUCAAGUCAUCAUGGCCCUUACGUCCAGGGCUACACACGUGCUACAAUGGGGCAUACAAAGAGCAGCAAUACCGCGAGGUGGAGCAAAUCUCAAAAAUGCCUCCCAGUUCGGAUAGCACUCUGCAACUCGAG